AAGCGGUGGAGCAUGUGGUUAAUUCGAAGCAACGCGAAGAGCCUUACCAGGUCUUGACAUCCCGAUGCUAUUCUAGAGAUAGAAAGUUACUUCGGUACAUCGGUGACAGGUGGUGCAUGGUUGUCGUCAGCUCGUGUCGUGAGAUGUUGGGUUAAGUCCCGCAACGAGCGCAACCCCUAUUGUUAGUUGCCAUCAUUCAGUUGGGCACUCUAGCGAGACUGCCGGUAAUAAACCGGAGGAAGUGGGAUGACGUCAAAUCAUCAUGCCCCUUAUGACCUGGGCUACACACGUGCUACAAUGGUUGGUACAACGAGUUGCGAGUCGGUGACGGCGAGCUAAUCUCUUAAAGCCAAUCUCAGUUCGGAUUGUAGGCUGCAACUCGCCUACAUGAAGUCGGAAUCGCUAGUAAUCGCGGAUCAGCACGCCGCGGUGAAUACGUUCCCGGGCCUU
rnacentral:rRNA from 1 species